rnacentral:misc_RNA from 1 species
AUUGGCCAUCUUUUACAAUUUUUCACCAGUAGUCAAACUCGGCGUUGAGAGGGGUCCUAUUGGCAUCAACAUCCUCGCCGUAAAGAUACCGAUGGAUGGCUGGCAGGGAGAUAUCGACGUGUAUGCCGUGUACUCUGAUGUGCUAGAAUGGGGCCUAUUUGGCGGGGGCAGCUUGCCUAUUGAUCUGUGAUCAGAGAGUAGCCACAUAAGAGGCGUAAAACUCUCGGACCAACUCCUCACUGUAGCGGCCUAAAGAACGAGCUGCCUACUCUAGCCGGUGUCUGGUGAAGAGAUUGUGGAUAUCUGGCAAUGUGGGGAGACUUCCUG